GUUAACGCUGGCGGCGUGCCUAACACAUGCAAGUCGAACGGUUCUAAGCGCGAGCUUAGGAUAGUGGCGAACGGGUGAGUAAAAGGUAGGAAUCUACCCCUUGGACGGAGAUAGCUACUGGAAACGGUAGGUAAACUUCGAUAAGCCCGAGAGGGGAAAGUGGUGAGACAGCCGAGGGAUGAGCCUACUCUCCAUCAGGUAGUUGGUGAGAUAAAGCUUACCAAGCCGAUGACGGAUAACCGGUGUGAGAGCAUGAACGGUCACAAGGGCACUGAGAGACGGGCCCUACUCCUACGGGAGGCAGCAGUGGGGAAUCUUGGACAAUGGGCGAAAGCCUGAUCCAGCGACGCCGCGUGGAGGAAGAAGUCCUUCGGGAUGUAAACUUCUGAACUAGCCGAAUAAAAGGCCUGUGGACACACAGGAGAAGAAAGUAGGCUAGGAAAAGUCCCGGCUAACUACGUG
rnacentral:rRNA from 1 species